AGGACGAACGCUGGCGGCGUGCUUAACACAUGCAAGUCGAACGGUGAAGGAGAGCUUGCUCUCCGGAUCAGUGGCGAACGGGUGAGUAACACGUGAGUAACCUGCCCUUGACUCUGGGAUAAGCGUUGGAAACGACGUCUAAUACCGGAUACGAGCUUCAGCCGCAUGGCUAGGAGCUGGAAGGAUUUCGGUCAAGGAUGGACUCGCGGCCUAUCAGCUAGUUGGUGAGGUAAUGGCUCACCAAGGCGACGACGGGUAGCCGGCCUGAGAGGGUGACCGGCCACGACGUGGGACUGAGACACGGCCAGACUCCGUACGGGAGCAGCAGGUAGGGAAUAGUUGGACAACGAAGUCGGGACGACAACGGCCGUAGGA
rnacentral:rRNA from 1 species